GGGGAGUAGACAGAAGAGGAGUUUAAAUGGGGCUAUCCAGUGUGUUUGUCUGGUUUAACUGUGUGUCUGGUCAUUAUAGACUGUUUUCUUACUUCUUUUCUUAACUCUCUGUCUGUGACCUCAAUCUCUAUCCAGUACAGGAGCUCAGCAUCAGCUCCAAGGGAAAUAAGCAUGAGAGGACUGGGUGCCAGCUGCUGGAGACAGUGGGGCCUCAGCAUCAGCUCCUAGAGUGGGUGGAGGUCUUCAGCCCCUGGGGCAGGAGUAUGUCCCCGAAACAACUGCUGGCAGAUGGGGUGAGUGAGUUGGUAUGUGCAGAAAGUAUGAGUUUUCUGAAAGCUAUGCCCAAAGGAGGCCUUUACAUGAUUCAUCAAGAUGCCCACAAGGACAUGAAUCUUAUCACUGGGAAGGAAGUUUCCAUGAAUUAUGUUGAGCUGUUCAGAAAUGUUUCAAAGACGAGAAAAUCACAGGAGCAUCCCUAAAAACAAUAACAUACUCAAGUAACACUAUUAUAUAUAUUCUCUUCUCUUAGGGGGAAAAAUUAAAUAAAGCUCAUUCAGACAGCA
rnacentral:lncRNA from 1 species